GACAGAGGUGCCGAGCGUUAGGCGGAAUCACUGGGCUUAAAGCGUGUGUAGGCGGACCGUUAAGUACCUUGUGAAAUCCCACGGCUCAACCGUGGAACGGCUGGGUAUACUGGCGGUCUUGGGCCACCUAGGGGUCAUCGGAACAGGCGGUGGAGCGGUGAAAUGCGUAGAUGUCGCCUGGAACGCCGACGGUGAAAACAGAUGACUGGGGGUGUGCCGACGCUGAGACACGAAAGCCAGGGGAGCGAACGGG
rnacentral:rRNA from 1 species